AAAGCAGCUUUUCUGUUUGGAACGGUGUGGAGGUAACCCUAACAACAGAACGGUGAGUUAACAGAACGGUGUGGAGGUAACCCCAACAACAGAACGGUGUGGAGGUAACCCCAACAACAGAACGGUGAGUUAACAGAACGGUGUGGAGGUAACCCCAACAACAGAAUGGUGUGGAGGUAACCCCAACAACAGAACGGUGUGGAGGUAACCCUAACAACAGAACGGUGUGGAGGUAACCCCAACAACAGAACGGUGUGGAGGUAACCCCAACAAC